rnacentral:rRNA from 1 species
GUGGCAGCCGCCGCGGUAAUACGUAGGGUCCAAGCGUUAAUCGGAAUUACUGGGCGUAAAGCGUGCGCAGGCGGUUGUGCAAGACCGAUGUGAAAUCCCCGGGCUUAACCUGGGAAUUGCAUUGGUGACUGCACGGCUAGAGUGUGUCAGAGGGGGGUAGGAAGUUCCACGUGUAGCAGCGAAAUAGCGUAGAGAUGUGGAGGAAGUACCGAUGGCGAAGGCAGCCCCCUCGGGAGUAACACUGACGCUCAUGCACGAAAGACGUGGGGAGGCAAACAGGAUUAGAUACCCUGGUAGUCCACGCCCUAAACGAUGUCAACUAGUUGUUGGGGAUUCAUUUCCUUAGUAACGUAGCUAACGCGUGAAGUUGACCGCCUGGGGAGUACGGUCGCAAGAUUAAAACUCAAAGGAAUUGACGG